rnacentral:rRNA from 1 species
GUGGGGAAUCUUGCGCAAUGCGCGAAAGCGUGACGCAGCAGCGCCGCGUGGGGGAAGAAGGCCUUCGGGUUGUAAACCUCUUUCAGUUGGGACGAAGCCUUGCGGGUUAAUAGCCCGUGGAGGUGACGGUACCUUCAGAAGAAGCCCCGGCUAACUACGUGCCAGCAGCCGCGGUAAUACGUAGGGGGCAAGCGUUGUCCGGAAUCAUUGGGCGUAAAGAGCGUGUAGGCGGCCCGAUAAGUCCGCUGUGAAAGUCCAGGGCUCAACCCUGGAAUGCCGGUGGAUACUGUCGGGCUCGAAUCCGGAAGAGGUGAGUGGAAUUCCUGGUGUAGCGGUGAAAUGCGCAGAUAUCAGGAGGAACACCAAUGGCGAAGGCAGCUCACUGGGACGGUAUUGACGCUGAGACGCGAAAGCGUGGGGAGCAAACAGGAUUAGAUACCCUGGUAGUCCACGCCGUAAACGAUGGUCACUAGGUGUGGGGGGUGUCGACUCCCUCCGUGCCGGAGCUAACGC